CAGUUAUUUGCUGUAACUUAUCAAUGGUCACUAGUUGAUGAAUUUAGAUUGUCCAUUCCUGAUUGAUAAGUUAGCACAGGGGCCUGGUUCCUCGAAUGACACAUGUAUCUAGAUCCCCUAAUGCAAAGUUGGCCUCGAUGCUUUAUGUAAGUUCCUUCUGUCUGAGUUGGUGACUUAUUUGCAUUUUGUUCACAGAAACCAGUCUCUUGAUUACUGUUGAACCAGAUGUGAUUUCUGAACCUACAGAUCUCAGCCGAAGGAUGACAUAUUGGCAGAUAAAAUCAGUCAUACUGCACUCUCAGAUCAAGGGGAAUAAAUCUGUAUUAAUUGAGAUCAUGGACCCCAUGUAAGUCAACAACUUCUGACCUGAUAUUGGAUGAUAGCCACAGACUUGACACAAAUGCAGCAAAAACAGCUCAGCAUGUGAGCACAACUGGAGGAGUACAAAUGUAAAACACCUGGAACAUGUUCAUAGACUUCUACAGAUUGAGUGUAGGAUAGAGCUUAUGAUAUAUAUUCUUGAACGACCUGACCAAGGACCAGCUUGGAGAAUUCCAGCUCAUGGACACGAAAAGUUUCCUAAAACAGAACAUUAAUUGUACCACAGUUGCAGUAACAGGCUGAGGACGCCUCCGCUCCCCAAAGACCGGGUUCACCAAGAACAACACAAACAAUACUUGGACACAGCAAACUUCCUAAAACAGACCAACAUUCUACCAGAGCUGCUGUCUGUCACAGGUCAUGGCUGAAGGUAUCUGCCCAAAGACUGGGUUCACUUAAUUAGGAAUAACACAAACAAUACUUGGAUAACACCCCUUCAGGCUACUGUGUCCAGUCUACAUAUGUUUGCAUCUUCAAGAGGAGCCUGAACGACAAUAUGGCAAAAAGCUAGCAAGUCCAACAGUCAGAGACAAAAUGAAGUGAACUGAAAAGAUACUAAUUAUUAUAAGGACUGAUAUAUAAAAACUGAAAAAAAAGAAGAAAAAGAAGUAGCUGACUUGUCAAAUUAAUGUUGAUGAUAUAGAAAUAAAAUAAUGUGUCUUGAAGACUUGGAAGUGUGUGUGAAUAUAUCAAUGAAACAUUUAAUUCUGUGACCAUCAUAUUCAUUUGAUUAUGUUAGCAAAAGUUUUGACCAUUUGUUUAUCAAUUUUUUUAAAUUUUUGUAUAGAGUUCAGAAAACUUCUACUACAAUCUGAAAAUCUUUGAAACUGAGGUUUAAUAAUUAAUAACUUUGGGUACAUAUAAUUAUAUGAAGCUGUGUUGCCUUGAAAAGAAUCACGAUUCAGCUAUUUUUGCAGUUUCUUUCAGUAUUUGAUUCUUGUUGAUCUAGUCUGUAGAUCUAGACCUUCUUUUUUGAUCUUUCUAAUUUUCUAUCAAACUUUGUACACUUUAUUAUGACAUGUAAUUGCACAUUUUAUUGGCAUAUUAAUUGAGAUGUGAAUGGAAGUGUAAUCAUUUUCAUGGUUUUUGCUUUUAAGCAUCCAACAAGUGUGUGUUUGAUUCAUAAUAAAUCAUUUUCAAUUGAAA